rnacentral:rRNA from 1 species
CGGCGUGCCUAAUACAUGCAAGUCGAGCGAACAGAUAAGGAGCUUGCUCCUUUGACGUUAGCGGCGGACGGGUGAGUAACACGUGGAUAACCUACCUAUAAGACUGGGAUAACUUCGGGAAACCGGAGCUAAUACCGGAUAACAUAUUGAACCGCAUGGUUCAAUAGUGAAAGGCGGCUUUGCUGUCACUUAUAGAUGGAUCCGCGCCGUAUUAGCUAGUUGGUAAGGUAACGGCUUACCAAGGCAACGAUACGUAGCCAACCUGAGAGGGUGAUCGGCCACACUGGAACUGAGACACGGUCCAGACUCCUACGGGAGGCAGCAGUAGGGAAUCUUCCGCAAUGGGCGAAAGCCUGACGGAGCAACGCCGCGUGAGUGAUGAAGGUCUUCGGAUCGUAAAACUCUGUUAUCAGGGAAGAACAAAUGUGUAAGUAACUGUGCACAUCUUGACGGUACCUGAUCAGAAAGCCACGGCUAACUACGUGCCAGCAGCCGCGGUAAUACGUAGGUGGCAAGCGUUAUCCGGAAUUAUUGGGCGUAAAGCGCGCGUAGGCGGUUUUUUAAGUCUGAUGUGAAAGCCCACGGCUCAACCGUGGAGGGUCAUUGGAAACUGGAAAACUUGA